rnacentral:rRNA from 1 species
CAGUCGCCGCGGUAAUACGUAGGUGGCAAGCGUUGUCCGGAAUUAUUGGGCGUAAAGCGCGCGCAGGCGGAUAGGUCAGUCUGUCUUAAAAGUUCGGGGCUUAACCCCGUGAUGGGAUGGAAACUGCCAAUCUAGAGUAUCGGAGAGGAAAGUGGAAUUCCUAGUGUAGCGGUGAAAUGCGUAGAUAUUAGGAAGAACACCAGUGGCGAAGGCGACUUUCUGGACGAAAACCGACGCUGAGGCGCGAAAGCCAGGGGAGCGAACGGGAUUAGAUACCCGCGUAGUCCCUGUCUCUUAUACA